rnacentral:lncRNA from 1 species
UAUAUAUACAUCUCUUAAAUUAUGAUCUUGUUUUGAAUGGCUGCCGUUCCCAUUAAAUUUUUAAUUGAUAAUGUUCAUAAAUUACUCUUUUAAUUAUUAAAUGAUUGUAUCACCUUUGGCAUUUAUAAUCUUGAUAAGUUAUAUAAAAAUAUAGCUCUUUUUGAUGCAAAUCAAAUGUUAACCCUAGAUGGGUAACUUCACAGUUUGUGGGUUGUCUCUGUCUACCAUCACCCC